CUACGGGAGGCAGCAGUGGGGAAUUUUGGACAAUGGGGGCAACCCUGAUCCAGCAAUGCCGCGUGUGUGAAGAAGGCCUUCGGGUUGUAAAGCACUUUCAGCAGAGAAGAAAAGCUCUGUGCUAAUACUUCAGAGUCUUGACGUAACCUGCAGAAGAAGCACCGGCUAACUCCGUGCCAGCAGCCGCGGUAAUACGGAGGGUGCGAGCGUUAAUCGGAAUUACUGGGCGUAAAGCGCACGUAGGCGGCUUGGUCAGUCGGGUGUGAAAGCCCCGGGCUCAACCUGGGAACUGCAUCCGAUACUGCCAAGCUAGAGUGUGGUAGAGGGAAGUGGAAUUCCGGGUGUAGCGGUGAAAUGCGUAGAUAUCCGGAGGAACACCAGUGGCGAAGGCGGCUUCCUGGACCAACACUGACGCUGAGGUGCGAAAGCGUGGGGAGCAAACAGGAUUAGAUACCCCGGUAGUCC
rnacentral:rRNA from 1 species